GUAACACCAGACGUGUGAGGAUAUUUUGAGUAUCGACACUCACAGGUACACUUCAAUAUAUUGAGAAAGGGAUGGAGCAGUGGACCCAGAGUGAAGUGAUAAGCAGAACCACGAAACAAAGAAAACGUUAGUCGUUCAGAGAAAAAAAAAAUGAAACUCCCUCCCCACCCCCCGCAUCAAAAGGACGGCAUCCCGAUCAUCAACCCCCAAAACCCACCCCUCCCGCCCGCACAAAAGGGAAGAAAAAUAUCGACACCCGUUAAAAACGUUCCUUCCCGACACAACUGCAGAGGAGCCGGUGUCAACAGUGUAGAGGCGGCCGCAUCGGGAGCAGCGGACACAACGGGCGACCCCGGAAGAUUCAAAGGUGAAGUGUCGCCUCACCUGGAAGGAUGUUUGGACAACGGAAAGAGUUCGGCCGUCCGGCCCUGUCACUGUGACACCCCGAACUCCACAUCAAAUCCGUCCAAACGAAUCUGGGCGAACUUUAAUGACCAAUAAAUAUAAUUCCUCUCAGCGA